UGAGUAUCCAUGCCCCACGUAAUGUGCCACACCCCCACUCUCUUCCAUGAGAAAAUAAGAUGCCUCUCCCUCCUAUGUUGUCACCAAAAAGAAUAGAGGGGGCAUCCAAGAGUUGGAUGCCCCAAACUCCACACGUCUAAGCCUUCUUCCCAACCCCUUUUGAAGGGAUUUUGUGAAGCUUUUACUGUUAGUUCUUAGACAUCAAAAAAAGGCUCUUCUAUUGAUUUUACAGUAUAAAAUUGGAGAAAAAAAAGUUC
rnacentral:lncRNA from 1 species